GCCAGGCGUGGUGGCACGUACCUGUAAUCCUAGCCACUUGGGAGGCUGAGGUGGGAGGAUCGCUUGAACCCAGGAGGUCAAGACUGCAGUGAGCCGUGACUACGCCACUGCACUCUAGCCUGGGCGACAGAGUGAGAUCCUUUCUCAA
rnacentral:SRP_RNA from 1 species